rnacentral:rRNA from 1 species
GACGAACGCUGGCGGCGUGCUUAACACAUGCAAGUCGAACGAUGAACCCGGAGCUUGCUCCGGUGGAUUAGUGGCGAACGGGUGAGUAACACGUGAGUAACCUGCCCUUGACUCUGGGAUAACUGCGGGAAACUGUAGCUAAUACCGGAUACGACCCUCGGCGGCAUCGCCAGGGGGUGGAAAGAAUUUCGGUCAAGGAUGGACUCGCGGCCUAUCAGCUAGUUGGUGAGGUAACGGCUCACCAAGGCGACGACGGGUAGCCGGCCUGAGAGGGUGACCGGCCACACUGGGACUGAGAUACGGCCCAGACUCCUACGGGAGGCAGCAGUGGGGAAUAUUGCACAAGGGGCGGAAGCCUGAUGCAGCAACGCCGCGUGCGGGAUGACGGCCUUCGGGUUGUAAACCGCUUUCGCCUGUGACGAAGCGUGAGUGACGGUAAUGGGUAAAGAAGCACCGGCUAACUACGUGCCAGCCGCCGCCGUAA